GCUUGAUUGAGUGCCGUGUUUGAAGUUCGUCAGUGUGACAGGUCCGACUCUGAUGCUGUAAAUCCGUCCGCUGGAGGAGCCGAACGGCUGCUGGAUUACCACGAGGCCGUUAAAAAUAGUUUAAUAACCGUAGUUAAGAUACAGUUAAUGUUUUUGUUCAAAUGCCGGUGUUUGUUUUAUUUUCGUAGAGUGACAGACGGUCGCGGACACGGUUUAAACGGACAGUGUGAAGCCACGCUGAAACGGUUCCGACCCGGUUUGCUCGUAAACGCAUCAGAGGCGCACGUGGGGCAGACGCCGCCAGUCACCGACUGUUUGAAUCACUUCGUCGCGAGUUUGUGCGUCGUUCCAGAAACACAGGAAGAAGUGUGAACAACGGAUACGAGACAAUGACCCAUUCUGCGAGCGCCACCGGACACGCUUUGUUUUUAUCGCCCCGUCUUUAACUUGAACAUUUUAGCGGCACAUGAGAUCCGCUAGCUAGCUGCCGCUCUGUUCGGAUUCGGUGAGCUGUCGGACCGCGAAGUGACUUUUCUCUGCCGGGAGUGGAUGAGCGUUUGAGGAGACAUGGGGACUCAGGGCACAGGACGGAAAAGAUCUACCAAGAAGGAGAGAUCGACGGCAGAGGACGAUGCCCUAAAUCUCAUAGCGAGAGAGGCCGAGGCCAGGCUGGCAGCGAAGAGGGCAGCCCGGGCGGAGGCCAGAGAGAUCCGCAUGAAGGAGCUGGAGAGGCAACAGAAAGAGCUCUCAGAUGACGAUGAGCGGAUGUCAGUGGGAAGCCGGGGCAGUGUCAGGGUGGAGGACAGAGAUUAUCUUGAGAAGGGAUCUCGAGCAGGUUCUGCCUUAACAGCAGGAACCCUCACGUCCUUAGGCGGGACUUCCUCGCGGAGAGGAAGUGGCGAGACGGCCAUAACUGUAGAUGCAGAGACCUCUAUACGAGAAAUCAAGGAGAUUCACGAACUGAAGGAUCAGAUUCAAGAUGUGGAAAUCAAGUACACGCAGAACCUAAAAGAAGCCAAGGAUGCAUUAGCAGAAGUGGAGGAGAAGUAUCGAAAGGCCAUGGUGUCCAACGCCCAGCUGGAUAACGAGAAAAACAACCUGAUGUACCAGGUGGACACGCUGAAGGACUCGCUCAUGGAGCUGGAGGAGAUGCUGUCGGAGUCGCAGCGAGGAUAUGAGGAGAAAGUCAAGGAGUUCGAGCGGGAGAAACAUGCCCACAGCGUGCUUCAGUUCCAGUUCAAUGAAAUGAAAGAGACGCUGAAACAAAGUGAAGAGCUGCUAAAUGAGAUCCGUCAGCUGCGUAUGAAGCAGGAGGGUUUUAUUAGAGAAAUUUCUGACCUGCAGGAGACGGUGGAGUGGAAGGAUAAAAAAAUUGCGGCCUUAGAGCGACAGAAAGAAUACACAGAUGCAAUCCGCAUCGAGCGAGAUGACCUCAGAGAAGAGGUGGUGAAGCUGAAAGACAUUCUGAAGAAACAUGGAAUAGUAUUGGGACCUGAUCUUAACGUCAAUGGAGACAUUGUUGUGGCAGAAGUCGACGGAUCCCCCAAUGCAGACCCUGCCUCCCAACCGGCUCCGGAUUCACAGCCCUCCCCAACAGAGGGGAACAGCAUGCUCGGCAACACAGAGGGAACUGAUUUGAGAAGUAGCGGAGAGGAAGAGGUGGCUCCAAAGCGGCAUCAAGAAAUGUUUGACGAAGCCAAAGACAAUCACUUGAGCUCUGAAACACUCUGUAAUGUUGCCGGUGUGUCCACACUGCAAACACCUAGCGAAGAACAGCCAACAGAAGAAGACAAUGGUGAAGGAAGUGGCCUCAGCAAGGACUUAAAUGUUCACAUUAAUGACUGUUCAAUCACAGAAACCGAACACAUCAUCAAUUGCAGCCCUGGGCUUCAAGAGAUUUUAACAAGUUCUGAGGAAAAUGUUCCAGAAACACCUGAGGGGGGAGAUUCAGGGGAGACACGUAACCCAGGUUUAGGAGAGAUAGAAACCAGAAGCAGUAGUGUUGACACACACGGUGAUGGCAGUAGAGAGUCAUGUAACAACAUUUUUGAAGAGCCAGAAAAUAAACAGGAAGAUGUUCAGGUAAGUAGUUUGAGAAAUACGGGAUCAUGUCCUCAGCAAAGAGUCACAGAAGAUGUUAUGAAAGAGCGUCUGACCGAUGAGUCCGUCCCAGCUGUGUCAAACAUCGACGCUCAGCAAGAGCCUGAGAAUGCCGAAGAGGCAGAGAACGAUGAGGCAGAGGAAAUGUCAAGUAAACGUCAGGCUCAGGGUGCUACUGCUUCGGGGAAAAAGAAAAGAAAGAAGAGGAGGGGUAAAAAGAAAGGAGGAACACAGGAGGAUAAGAACCAACAAAAACAUGAAGCAGAUAAAGAAAAAGACAAAACAGAUAAAGACACUGAACUGGCAACAAGAGAUAGCGAGCAAACGACAGAACCCGACAUCGAUGGUUCUGUCACAGAAACCCUCGAGGAAUCAGGGGUGGAUCAAGUCAAAAAUGAGCAAGAAACUGAGCAGGUAGAUGGAGCAGAAGCAGUGAAACCUUCUGAAACCUUUUCUCACAGCGAACCUCUCGAAGAAUCAGGAGUGGAUCAUGUUACAGAUGUUACAGAUGAGAAAGACAAUGAACAAACUUUGGAAAUGGACAAUGUAGAACAGUUAGAAGCUACGGAAACCUUUUCUCCUACUGAAACUCCAGAGGAAAGAGGAGUGGAUCAUAUUAUGGAUGAACAGAAGGAGGAGCAAAGUUUGGAAGCUGAAACAGUCAAAGCAGUCGAGGCAGUUGCAGCCACUGAAACCUUUUCUCAAGUUGAAACUCUCCAGGAAUCCAGAGUUGAUCCCAAAAAGGACGAGCAAGACGAGGAACAAAGUUUGGAACCACAAGAAGAAAUGGGAUCUACAUCAAGUCCUGUUCCAGAGGCCAACCUCAGUACUCCUGAUCUUAUUGACAUCUCCGAGGGUGCAGACAACACUGACAAAGUGUGUGUAUCCAGCGAAGACAACUCUAACAGUGGAGCAGAUCUCUCAACUAAUGGCCGUGUCAUCCAUGCUGAGUCAGAAGUUGUUGGUUGUGCAGAGGAUGACAUUCAGUCUGUUGAUGAGAUGAAACCUGAAUGCACAACUAAUAACCCAGAAACAAAGGACAAGGACAACAGUGAGGCUGAAUCACAUGUUCAAAGCAUCGAUGAUAUUGUUACUGAUGAAUCUGAAUCCACAAACAAACCUGAGAGUGAGGAUAACAUGUCGGUGUCUCUGUCUUCUCCUGAUGGCUUCACUGAUGGUCUGAACAGCUUGGCUGGCUCAGAUCUGCCUUCAGAACUGUCUGCAGCCGUGAACUUUGGCAGUGACGACACUCCCAGUAAGGUUUCUGAUAGAGAUCCAGAGGAGGCAACUGAGACGGUCAAAGACGACGAGGAGCCAGUGGCGGAGACUGAACAGGAAUCCAUUUCUCCCAGUCCUCAUGGGGACAAUUCAGAAUUAAAACCAGACAGAACAGAAGAAGUGGAGCUGAGCAGAAACUUGAGGGAACCUGAAGGUUUAGUGGAGCCAGACAACUCCUCGUAUGAAGGAGAAAGUGACAGUGCAUCAUUAACAAAAAACACUGAAAAGAGUCUGUUGGACACAGCAGCACAGGCUGAACAAUCGGAUGAUUUAGAAAGCCAGACAUUACAGCGCGAGGAUCAGAUUGGUGAAGUGUCCUCUGAAACAGAAGCAAUCAACAUCGUUGACAUUUCAAAUACACCAGACGCUCCAACAGAAGCUCCUGAAGCUCCUGAGGACCACAAUAACGAAGAAGAACCUGAAAAUGAUCAGCAAAGUGCUGAGCUGCAUGAACCCAGCAAAGACCAGUCUGAGGAUAAUGAUUCUUCUCAACCCACCCUGCAGGACAGUGAUGAAGAGGACGGUGAGGACGAUGAAGGACAGUCUUUUGAUUUUGAUGACAUGGAUGUGGAGUUGGCUAUAGAAACGAAAGUCCCUAAAAAUCAGGAAGAAGCUAAAGAGGGAACUCAAGUCAUGUCACGCUCAGGGCUGUGCCAAAGCAACACGCAGUCAAAUGAAAAUGCACAAGACGAGCCAGGUGAGAACAAUGAUGAGACGUGCACGGUUGAUGGAGGAAACCAGGCAGAUACACCAGAUAAAGAGACGGAUACUGUCCCUCAUGAAGAAGCCAUGUCUGCAGACGUAGCUGUAGCACUUGAGCCUGUUAUCGAGGAAGGAAAGGAUUUGAUUGUUGGAGAGUUGGAUGUGGUUGCAGAGAACGUCAACCAGGCAAUGUCUUUACCUGUAGAGGAAGGAUUAGAUGCCAUUAAGGAAGUGUUGCAGGGUGAAGAUUUGGUUUUACCAAAGAGUGCAGACUCAGUGACGGCCAAUAAAGAGACGAGGAAAGAUGUGAAGAAAAAUGGCAAGAAAGGCAAAGUCAAGGGCAGAGAGGAGUGUAAGGUAUCUUAGCCUGUAGAUAGUAUAUGGUACACAUAUAUAUCAUGUGAUCUGCCCUUUACUGGUCCUUGCUGAGCUUUUUACAAAGCGGUUAAAUAAAUAUGUGCACUUUGAUUCUUUCACAAAUGAAUAUUGGUGUAAGUAUGUACAUUCUUCUAAUUAAUCCAUAUAAACAGUCCAAGUUCAGUUUUCAUUGAGGUCAUAUGUGCAAGAAAAAUGUAUUAGUGGAGAGAUGAGAAUGUAAACUGCUCGGUCACAGUGGAUUUUACUGUUGGACAAUACUGCACCUGCUAUAUUUUGUUACUGAUGCACAUUUAUAACACUGCUUGUAAUGCGUCAUGGUGCUGUGCCGCACAACAUUUUAUUUACAGGAACUCGUUCACGCAUCAUUUCUUUUGUGUACAAUAAAAAACACAAAUGUUUAGCGCUAAUUCUCAUGGAGACUUUAGCGAACUAGCUUUUACAUGCUCUUGCUGUAAUGUUGAUGGUUACAAUGAAAAAUUGCCGGAGACCCUGUUCUGUUCUCAGGGAUUAACAAAACUGUUCUUUGACCUAAAGAAAGACGUUUCCUUCUACAAGGACUCAGAAUUCUAAAGCACAGAAAAUGUCUGUUGGCGUUUUGUUGCACGUAAUGGAAAGAUGAAUGUGGUGCGUCCACACUGAAAUGCAAAUAAAUGCCCUGCUGUUACCAAUUUGAAGUCGACCUAAAUGCAUUUUUGUUGGUGAUGACAAUAAUAUGACAGUUUCAGCCUGUUCAGACAGCACAUUUACACUUAGAUGUUCACGUCGUAUCGUAGCCUCCUGUGUGGUCCUGCAGUGUGAGCGUAGUCCUGCCAGCUGUGUGCUCUUGCAUUGACCCUCUUCUCCACAGUUUGUGCAUGCUAACCUUCCCCCUCACACUCCAUCACUAUCCCACGGAUGUCUGCUCUGUUGCAUGCAUCAACCUCCCACCCUGACCCAGCCCCCCUCCCACCAUCUCCUUGGCACCUCCCACCCCUGAGAUUCGUCUGAGGAAACUGGUGGAUGAGCGGGAAAAAAUGAUAGAGCAGGUAAAGAAACUGAAGGCCCAGCUGGAGCAGAAGACACAGAGGAAUGGCACAGAGAGCACUUCAAGCCCCGAUGGUGAAAUUCUUGAAAACGG